GUGGGCGUGGUGGUCGAGGUGGUGGGCGUGGUGGUCGAGGUGGUAGGGUCAGCAAGCCUGAAAAGCGAAAAUGUAUUCUAGCCGGGAGAGAGGGCAUAUCGCUGUGGAUUGUCCAUAUUCAAAAGAUGAGGCUAUUGUUAAACGUGAUGCUGCUGACGAGAAGAAAAAGUCACCUUCUUCCACUUCUGCUGCUUCUACUUCUACUACUUACCACGUGGCACCGUUUGCGGGAUGGAAACCAGGAUUUGUGAUGCCUCCUCCACCCCGUGUUGAUGCUGAAGGCAAUAUGAUUGUACAUUAGCUAUUUCCUUCCAUUCCACUCUCUAUAUUUGUUAUUGUUUCGAAACCUAAUUCGUAUUUGUGCAAUAAAUUACUUUGUCAAUAUUUGCAUAAAUUAAGAAAAAAUCGGCGUGGAGCUUCGCCCCAUUUUAACAUUUUCCCAUUUUUUUCAGUCAUUAUGAUCCCAAUUUUUCACCAGAAUCUUCCCUCCACAAUCUUGGGACAGGGUUGCAGAUUGGGACAACAUUUGUCGGGAUUGAGGGUCCAUAUCAGCGCCACCAGAACCAGCAAAACCUAACCCACACCCCACCACCACCUCCACCACAUUGCCAUUUCAGACAUCCUCCCCAACUCCAACACCUCCACAACCUCGGAGGAGGAGAUAACAGCAACAGCUCUUUUGAAGAAGGACAAAGCUCCAGCCUCGGCGGAGGGUCAACCUGAGCAGCGCUGGCCGUUGUAAUGUGAAAGGCGUUCCACUUCCACUUGAUGAUUUCUCCAUUUCUGAUUCUCCUCUUAUUGAACUUGACUAUCGACAUCAAGAGACAAAGCUAAUGCUUAAUGGCCGCUUAAUGGAAUUAUUGAACAAGUGCCAGCUGUAGGCAAGACCAAAGAAGAAGGAGAAGGAACAACUCUAACGUCGUCUCUCUUCCAAGGGGUUCAACAUCCGGAGACUUUUUGGCUUCGCACAACUUUCUCCCACUUCUACAAAGCAAAAUAAAUAGUGCCUUAAUCUCAAUACUACGAACACUACUAUGCCUACCACCACUCUCAUCGUGCACACAAGAAAUCAGUGGCCGCGGAACAGAGGGAAAAUGUCCCCACGGAAAUGCGAUGCCCGCAUCAUCUGCCCAUCUUAUACCCAUCCCUCCCCUAUCCUAUAACGUUAAUGCCCCCACAUGUCCCCCCGGCUUCCGUGGCCACUGCCCCACCGAUGCAAUAUAUCAAUGGCCAUCAUCCCCAACACGGUCUAUCAUCAUCAUCAUCACGGCCGUGGCCUCAUUCUUCUCGGGCAGACUUUUCUCUUCUCGUGUUGAGUGCGAGCAGGAAAUAAAUGACAUUAACCAUCAAGAGUGUACUAAUGAGAAAUUCCCUCCUGCUGAUGCUCCUCCUCGAAGGAAGACUAGACACGUAGAGUGGUUCGGGUGGUGAGAGAAAGUAGUGAAAGUUGAAAGUGAAAGUGUGAGAAAAUGGAAAGUGUGUGCAAUUCUAGGGAAAAAAGGAACUCGUCUCAAUUCUCUGACACACUUAUUAAAUUAUUAUCAUUACAAGACAUUUUUUUCAUGUUAAUCUCAUUUAGCCCCGUAAUUUAUUGUGUGCUAUGGAUGUAUGUAUACCCAAAGAUAUUGCUAUAUAUGUAUGUACCAUCUACGUUUCAGAUUAUAUACGCUAUUGUUGCCAUGAAGUGAAAUGUUAUUACUUUAAUCACGUAAUAAUAGCCGUUGUUGUAUCAUUGUCA